AUACGUAGGUGGCGAGCGUUGUCCGGAAUUACUGGGUGUAAAGGGUGCGUAGGCGGGUAUACAAGUCAGAUGUGAAAACCCUUGGCUCAACCAGGGGACUGCAUCUGAAACUGUAUAUCUUGAGUGUUGGAGAGGAAAGCGGAAUUCCUAGUGUAGCGGUGAAAUGCGUAGAUAUUAGGAGGAACACCAGUGGCGAAGGCGGCUUUCUGGACAAUAACUGACGCUGAUGCACGAAAGCGUGGGGAGCAAACAGGAUUAGAUACCCUGGUAGUCCACGCUGUAAACGAUGAAUACUAGGUGUAGGUGGUAUCGACCCCAUCUGUGCCGGAGUUAACACAAUAAGUAUUCCACCUGGGGAGUACGACCGCAAGGUUGAA
rnacentral:rRNA from 1 species